CUGGACCAAGCCCUGGUUUACUCACAUCCAUCCAGUAUUUAAGAGACAGUACCACAGAUGCCAGAGUAAAUACAGACUGUGACAUUACAAUAACUGGACAAGAACAUCUGUGCAAGGAUGAAGACAUUACAUGCAAUGCUACUGAUGUUGUUUGCUGCAUCAGUCUUUUCAAAACCAUUUCAUUUGCGCAGAAGAUUUGAUUCAUCAGACUCAAGCGGAGAAGAAAAUGAUUCAAGCAGAGAAGAUAGGGAGGAUUCAGAGUCCGAUGAGAAAUCUGAAUCAAACGAGUCUAAAUCAAGUGAAUCUGAAUCUUCGGAGGAAGAUAUCAGAGUUGUGCCAAGCGCACUCUCUCCAGCUAGCACAACAAGUCCAUCGACUGCUGGCAAGACAACAACACCAUCAACUACCAAGACACAAGAUAUCACAAACUGUUUUAUUGUGGAUCUUACAAGAAGGGGUGAUAAUGAUAAUGUCCAUAUAAUACCUUGCAGGAAAACUGCUUAAUCCUCUUUUAAUGCAAAACAAACAAAAGUUGAAUGGUGUACAAUUCACUGGAGAUUACAGUAUAAAGUAAUGUUUAUGUGUUGAUAAUGAAGGUGUUGAUACAGAAUGAUAACUUUUAAAAUUAUUUACUUUUAAAUUGCAUGUCCCUAUUAUGGGUUUAAGUGUUUAUUUAGAAUAAAAAAAAUCUUUCAAAUUCAA